rnacentral:lncRNA from 1 species
CAUUUCAAAAUUGUCAAUUUUCAAUGGCUAUUAUAACAAGUUUGGAGUUUAACGGUGUAGAAGAAUCUAAAUUUCUUCAAAUUUUGAUAGAAAAUACUUUAAACUAUAUAGAUUAAGGUUAACAUUCUUGAUCUUGAAUUUAAAAGUCCUAUGCUCAAAUUUUAAAGAGUAUUCAAUUUUCACCGUCCAUUUUGACAUAAUUUAUUUACUAAGUAAACGAUAUCGAAAAAAACUAAAAUUUUAUUCCUAAGAACUUCAUAUACCCUAGAUCAUAUUUAACGGUGUGGAUCGUUGAUUUGAAUGCCCUAAGAUCGAAAACAACACUAUAGUACCGGAGCUCCGGUAUAGUAGCAUAAUUCUCUCUCUCUCUCUCUCUCUCUCUAUAUAUAUAUAUAUAUAUAUAUAUAUAUAUAUAUAAAAUACCUCGAGGGGUUCCAUACAUACAAACAAAUCUACUACACCACUCGCUCCAACGAGUACCCAGACAACAACCAUAUGUACAUAAAAAACCCUAAACUACCUGUGGGAGGUACUCCUCUAGCACUGCAACUAGUCUUGAAAGGAUCUAGCUCGCAACUCCCUUUCCACGAUCAGAAUCGGCGACAGCAGCAGCCGCAGAAGAAGGCUCUGCAAAAAGGGGUCAACAACAGGGUGUGAGAACUACUACAAAAAGAAGUAGUCCUCAGUGGGUACCGCUACCGACCUCAACGGCUCACCCACUAAAUCUACAGAAAGUAUG